AUCAACGCUGGCGGCGUGCCUAACACAUGCAAGUCGAACGAGAAAGUGGAGCAAUCCAUGAGUAAAGUGGCGACGGGUGAGUACCACGUGACUAACCUACCUCCGAGUGGGGAAUAACUCCGGGAAACCGGGGCUAAUACCGCAUAACAUCGCAAGAUCAAAGCAGCAAUGCGCUUGGAGGAGGGGGUCGCGGCUGAUUAGCUAGUUGGCGGGGUAAUGGCCCACCAAGGCGAAGAUCGGUAUCCGCCUGAGAGGGCGCACGGAACCACUGGAACUGAAACACAGUCCAGACUCCUACGGGAGGCAGCAGUGGGGAAUUUUGCGCAAUGGGGGAAACCCUGACGCAGCAACGCCGCGUGGAGGAUUGAAGCCCUUUGGGGCCGUAAACUCCUUUCGACCAAGACGAUUAUGACGGUACUGGUGGAAGAAGCACCGGCUAACUCUGUGCCAGCAGCCGCGGUAAUACAGAGGGUGCGAGCGUUGUUCGAAUUAUUGGGCGUAAAGGGCGCGUAGGCGGUGCCACAAGUCACUUGUGAAAUCUCCGGGCUUAACUCGGUAGUCUGCAUGGCGAAACUGUGGUGCUGGAGUGUGGGAGAGGUGCGUGGAAUUCCCGGUGUAGUGGUGAAAUGCGUAGAUAUCGGGAGGAACACCUGUGGCGAAAGCGGGCGCACUGGACCAUAACUGACGCUGAGGCGCGAAAGCUAGGGGAGCAAACAGGAUUAGAUACCCUGGUAGUCCUAGCCCUAAACGAUGAUUGCUUGGUGUAGCAGGUACCCAAUCCUGCUGUGCCGCAGCUAACGCGAUAAGCAAUCCGCCUGGGGAGUACGGUCGCAAGGCUGAAACUCAAAGGAAUUGACGGGGGCCCGCACAAGCGGUGGAGCAUGUGUUCAAUUCGACGCAACGCGAAGAAACCUUACCUGGGCUCGAAAUGCAGGAGGACCGGGGUGGAAACAUCCCUUCCCCUUAAAAGGCUGCUGCAUAGGUGCUGCAUGGCUGUCGUCAGCUCGUGUCGUGGAGAUGUUGGGUUAAGUCCCGCAACGAGCGCAACCCUUAAUCCCUAGUUGCCAUCGGGUCAAGCCGGGCACUCUAGUGAAACUGCCUCGGAUAACGAGGAGGAAGGUGGGCAUGACGUCAAGUCCUCAUGGCCUUUAUGUCCAGGGCUACACACGUGCUACAAUGGUCGGUACAACCGUCGCAAACCCGUGAGGGGGAGCUAAUCGGAAAAAGCCGGCCCUCAGUUCGGAUUGGAGUCUGCAACUCGACUCCAUGAAGCUGGAAUCGCUAGUAAUCGCGGAUCAGAAACGCCGCGGUGAAUACGUUCCCGGGCCUUGUACACACCGCCCGUCACAUCACGAAAGUGGGCCGUACUAGAAGCAGGUGUGCUAACCGCAAGGAGGCAGCCUUCCAAGGUACAGCUCAUGAUUGGGGUG
rnacentral:rRNA from 1 species